rnacentral:antisense_RNA from 1 species
CUCUAUGGUAGCGUGCGAUGGGAAAGGUUUCGCCCUUUGCUGCUUUCCUUGUGUCGCAGUUUCUCAGCCCGUCGCACGUUACCGCCCAA